rnacentral:rRNA from 1 species
UGGGUAACGUGCCCCGAUGACUGGGACAACCCGGGGAAACCCGGGCUAAUACCGGAUAUGCCCCCUCACGAGAGUGAGGUGUGUAAAGGAAGCUUCGGCCUCCGCAUCGGGAUCGGCCCGCGGCGCAUUAGCUUGUUGGUGUGGUAACGGCCUACCAAGGCAACGACGGGUAGCCGGCCUGAGAGGGUGACCGGCCACACUGGGACUGAGACACGGCCCAGACUCCUACGGGAGCAG